GGGUCACCAUAGCCUAUGCAAAUCUCCUCUACAGGGAACAGCAUCUUUACACCAGGUAAGAGUUGCUCGGAGAAAGACUGUCCACAGUAUCCCUCAGAUGAUGAAGAGAGAAAGCCACAUGACCCCAAUUAUUCAAAUUCACAGAUGAGAAAUCCCAUAGCUUCAACUUGCUAGGUCCCACUUGAACGUAUUUAUUAACACUGAAAACAAGGGAGAAAAACUAUCUGAACCAAAGAUCACUCACUCUCUUCUUAC
rnacentral:lncRNA from 1 species